AUGCUGACGCAAAGCUGAGCGCAGAGGGCGCUAGAAGCGCGAUGGCCGCUGUCAUUUUGUAAUUGCUUUGUUUACAUCAGUUUGCAAAUCGAUUUUUUGCUGUUUUUUGUGGUUAAAACCUAUCGAUCAACGCAAUACUUGAUAUGUAUUCUACCUGGAAGCUCAAAGAAUUGAAAGACGAAUUAAAAAAACGAGGAGGGAGGAUAACUGGAAAGAAAUCGGAACUUGUAGAAAGGUUAGAAGCCUACGAUCGAAAUUUUAAUUUUGGUCACCAAACCCUGCAAGCUUCUCAAAGCCAAGCAAUUGACGUACCUGCUGUAGAACUUUACAAAGACGUUAAUAGCUCCACCAUAUUGCCGAAGAUUACCAAACAUCAUAUUCAAAGUUACUUUGAUAGAUUCAAUAAAAAUAUCUGUGAUGCUGUUAAAUUGUAUGAAUCGAGAUACCUUCUUGUUUUACGAUCAGCAACAUCUGGCCAAGAUACUUACCUAAAAGGUAGGCUUAUUUCCACUUAUACUAGACUAGCUAUUUAAUUUUAACUAGCUGAUGCCUUGGAAAUUGUGUGGAAUAAGUUUUUUGAUUAAGUACUACUGAAACUCCUCACACAAUAUUCCAGGAUAAAAAGUAGCCACUCUUCAGGUUCUUAACUAUACCCAUACAAAAAAUCACAUUCCAUUGCUCUGUUGUGGCGUGAUUGAAGGACAAAUGAAUAA